AUUUUCUCCCUGAUUUUGGAUGUAAAUUUGUUUGCUGGGUCAUAGAGUGAUCCCAUAGUAUAUUAUGUAACAUGUAAACUAUCUGAGGGACCUGGGUGAAGUUUACAAGGACUUUUUCAUAUGAUCUUUGCACAAUUUGUGUAUAGAAAAUUACUUCAAAAUAAAAAAGGCAACAUGAUGUGCUGUGGCUUUUAGAAAGUUCAGGUGCAGCUCUUUAUUCAUAUAGGAAUGAAGGACAUUAUAGGUAAUUCCAAAAGUCGUUCUUAAAACUGAAAUUCUUAAAACUUGUCAUCUCUUUGGUAAAUUUCUGGAACCGUAAUGGAUUAUGCCUCCACCCCAUAUAAUGUGCAGUUUACUCUGCUUUUAAGAACUGAAUCAUCAGAACCAAAGGAUUGGAUAUUUACAGUGUUGGCUUUAUUAUGCAUUGGUAGAUAUUUUGUUCUGGAGCCACUUCUAAUCCUGCAUAAAGUGGGCAGAUGGUCUGAGGAAAGGGGACGACAAAUACAGAAGCACCAUUGAAAUUCUCUUCAUGUCUAAAUGAAUGAAGCUUCCAUCUUUCCCUUAACAGCACUACUGAUGUUUUCUGCAUCUUACACCAAGAUUGGUGCCCUUAAUCUCAGCGUAUAGUUUUUCAAGUGGUAUGUCAAAUAGUUCCAACAUGAGCAAUAGCCCAAGAUCCUGGAUUCUGACCACUGAGUAAAACAACCGCAUCAGCUCUCAUUUCCACAUGUCCAAUGCAGAGGCCAAACAUCCAGCCCAGUGAACCCAUGAGGUUUCAGCGUAGGUGAACCGUCAGUGGACCAGUGUCAGACGGGAAUCUAGGAUCGCCGAGGUCUUCACAAUGCCAGGGGCUUUGCUUCAGGCUGCGGAUACGAUUCAUUCCUGUAGAGUUGAUAUGUUGCUGAUGCCAAUCGGGAUUCAUUCUUAAGUACCAUCUCUGACCAGCCAAGUCUUUUAGGAUCUUUCUGCCUUGUUGGUUGUAGGGUCCAAGUUGAUUCAUCAACAUAGGAAUGUUACAGUAGACAAUCACAAGUGCUGAAUCGGUCAGGCUUCAUUUUUUACAAAUGUUCAGUAGCAAGCUAAUGGCUGUUUUCCAAAGCAAUUUACCUGUUAUGUCAAACCUAAGUCCAAACCUCAAAGGAGUCUUCAAGAUGGGAAACUGCUUGCCUUCUUCAGAGACUCUAAAUGACAGAAUCUGGCACAGUUUUGCAUUUAGACUUCUUAUACUCCAGAAGUCUGUUGAGGGGCUGGGUCCUUUCUUUUUCUUUUCUUUUUUCUUUUCUCCUUCCUUCCUGCCUUCUGCCUUCCCUCCUUCCCUCUCUUCCUUCUUUUCUUCCUUUCUUUUUUGGGUUCCGGUAGUGGGGAAGACACAACAGUGUAUUUUUCUUUAUUGCUGGAAUGAGCAUUGCACAUUGCCUACAUAAUUCCAAUAAACUUUAACUGGAAAAGGACUCUGAAUUUGUUACAUUUUAUCAGACUUACCUAUUAGAGAAGGAAUGUCCUAGAUAGGGCUAUUGAGACUAAUGUCUCCAACUUUCCAACAAAGAAUUCAUCUACAUAGUGAAACAUUGACAGCAGGGUCAAGACAAAUGUGCUAUAUUCUCACCCGUGCACUGAUGGCAAAUGCCUGGGAGUUUGUUUCACCAGGACUGCUCUACUUUCAGCUCAUCCUGAAGAAUGUGGGUAAAUAUGGAAUCACAAAUGGUGAUGGUUGUGAAAAUUGGUAAGACAUUUUGAAAAGUAUUGGAAGUAUGAACUAAAGCUGAAUAGAUGUAAGCCUAUGACUAUGAAAUUUACUCUUACAUAUGUAACCAACAGAAGUUUAUGCAUGUGUCACCAAAGCACAAGUUCUAGAAUUUACAUAGCAGAGCUAUUCAUAAUAGCUCCACACUGAAAACCACCCAUGUGUGUAUCAAGAGUGGAAAGAUUAAAGUAAUUGCUAGAUGUUUACACAAUGGAAUUCUAUUAAAUGUUAGAGUCCACACAGUGGAACUAAUGCUAAUAAAUGACCUACAACAUGUGAUAAUAAGGAUGAGUUCACAACAUUUGGAAUGUGGAGCCAAAUACAGAAGAGUCCAUCCUAUAUAGGUCCAUUUCUAUAAAGUGCCAAAAAGGCACUUUGAAGAGUGAUCUAUGUUAAAUGUCACAUUACUGUUUACUGUGGUGGGUAGUAACUGGGAGGCUUAACAAGGAGGUUUUGGGGGCUGAAAAUCUGUGGGUUUUUUUUUUUAACUAGGAAAUGGAUACAGAGAUGUGUUCACUUUGUGCCAUUUUACUGUGCUUUGUACUUAAGACCUAUAUAUGAAUCUUUAAAAAUUGUUUUUAAAUGCCUAUCACCAACUUUUAAAAAUUCAGUAGAAGGUAAGUAGAUUGUUUUUAUGUCCUUACAUUGUUCUUGUAAAGACAUUAAAUACUACUGUAAUUUGUUUUUAAAAUAAUGUAUUCUAAUUCCUAGGUGAAACAUGAAGAUAGUAUAAAACCUAAAUAAAGGGUAGAGAAUAAUUGGAAAUUUACACAGAAGAUAGAAAAAUAAAAUAGACCAUGGGUAAUGAAGAACAUGCAAUAAAUUGGUAAAUCUAAUCCCAAGUAAACACAGUUAUAUUGAACAUAAAUGUGUAGCUCUUGUUACAUUCUAACAUUGUUGGACUCUAUUCAGUGAGGGUUUUCUCAUAAGUUAAAAUAUUAGGAUUAAAUAAAAUUAAUGAAAUACAAUUUCAUGGCAUUUUAACCUAGUAAACUGCCAACAGGACUGUAUAAUAGAGUUCAACAUAGGCUGUCAUGAUAAUUGUAAGUGGUACUAUUCCAUUUAUUAAUGUACAGUUUUUUUAAUACUAUUACUCAAUAACAAUCAGGCUGACAACUCCCCACACAUUCACACAUGCACAGACAUGUACAAAUGUGUUUCUGUAUUGCAUCUUGACUUGUGAUCUGAUGUGUGGUAAAUAUUUCUAAGUGUCCCUUAUCAUCUUAAAAAUAGUGUUUCUCAAAAAAAAAUAGUGUUUCUCUAUUUCUGUGCCACAAAAUUUAUUAUAAUAAUAUUCAUUAUGUCAAACUAAUUCUCUUAAAACUAUUGAAUCCUUAGUAUUUUAGUACAGCUUUGUUUGGUAAACACAGAGAUAGCUAUAUUAUAAUGUUUCUUCUACUUGAGUGACUAUUUUGCCCCUGUGGAAAUCCUCCUGCCACAAACUCCAACAGGAUUCUUGACUUUCCCUCUAAAUGACUGUUCCUGUUCCUACAGGUUUAGUCAAAAACUCCACUGAAUGCCCCCAGGUCUCUUUCUUUACAACAUGAGAAUUGUCAUCUUCACAUUAUACAGAAAAAUCUAUUCUCCACAGUUGCCAAAACUCAUGCCAAUUUUUCCUAGACAUUUUACCUUUUUGUCUCUCACUCACCUGAUGUCUUUUAAGCAAUUAGCCAUACAUCUUUGCACUUUCAUUUUUCCCACUGCAGUUUAAUCUGGAUGUUUCUACAGGAAAAAAAUUAUUCUCUCCCUCCAUAAAAUUAUCUUUCCAGUGACCACUAUCUCUGUAAAGUUGUAAUGUACUAAUUUCAUAACGUGGUCCCAAAUAUACCUGCUACGUGAACCUGAUUCCCACUUCCGUUUCACCCCAUUCUAUUUCAUUUUUCCCAGAGGUCAUUUUGUUCAGUUUCUUGAAUGGCCAUCUCACAUACUGUUCCUUUUCCAUGAACUUUACUAGUUAUUCCAUGUUAAUUUCUAGAUAAAUGUGUUAUGUCAAGUUGAAAGUUACACACUCAAAGACAUAAUAUCCAGGUUAUGGCAGUACCCACGUUUUAUUUCAUCGACUCUGAACUACUUCACUAUAAACAUUACAAUUAUGUGAGGAUUUAUGUAAUAAUUACAUAAUUAUAAAUGUAAAAUUACAUUUACAGUUGUGUUCAUGGUUUAUUGGACACAACUGUCUAUCCAACAUCUUGUGUAAGGUGACUGUGUCUUCACUGUAGAACUCUGAAGAGAAGUGAAUAAACAAUAGAUGCUGUGCA
rnacentral:lncRNA from 1 species